GCGGUGUAAAAUGAGCGUGCGUCCUAUUAGCUAGUUGGAGAGGUAAUGGCUCACCAAGGCUACGAUGGGUAGGGGUUCUUAGUAGAAGGUCCCCCACACUGGCACUGAGAUACGGGCCAGACUCCUACGGGAGGCAGCAGUAGGGAAUAUUGGUCAAUGGGCGCAAGCCUGAACCAGCCAUGCCGCGUGCAGGAUGAAGGCUCUCUGAGUUGUAAACUGCUUUUGUACAGGAGCAAAAAAGCCCCUGCGGGGACUCUUGAGAGUACUGUAAGAAUAAGCACCGGCUAAUUCCGUGCCAGCAGCCGCGGUAAUACGGAAGGUGCAAGCGUUAUCCGGUUUUAUUGGGUUUAAAGGGUGCGUAGGCGGCUUAUUAAGUCAGUUGUGAAAUCCUAGUGCUUAACGCUAGAACUGCGAUUGAUACUAUUAGGCUUGAGUUAAGAAUAGGU
rnacentral:rRNA from 1 species